rnacentral:rRNA from 1 species
GUACCUACGGGGCGCAGCAGUGAGGAAUAUUGGUCAAUGGUCGGGAGACUGAACCAGCCAAGCCGCGUGAGGGAUGAAGGUACAGAGUAUCGUAAACCUCUUUUGUCAGGGAACAAAGGCGGGGACGUGUCCCCGGAUGAGUGUACCUGAAGAAAAAGCAUCGGCUAACUCCGUGCCAGCAGCCGCGGUAAUACGGAGGAUGCGAGCGUUAUCCGGAUUUAUUGGGCGUAAAGGGCUCGUAGGCGGUUCGGCGCGUCCGG